rnacentral:lncRNA from 1 species
CUGGCCGCGGCGUGCAAUGUCGUGCGAUGCAUGUCGUAUGUUGAUGCGCCCGUCAAACCCUCCAAACCCAUGCCCCCGGUGCGCAGCUCUCGCGUUGCUUCUCGGCCAUCAGAAGGCUCGUAGAUAAUUGCAUGUUUUUCCGCAUGCCCAGAAGGCGUUCGGAAAGACUAAUCGCUUAGGCAUCACUUGGCGCGAGCGGGCGAAACGAGCGGAUGCACAUGCAAGGAUUCUCCUCCUUCCCCAUACGUGUGCCUGCAACGCUUCAGCUAGCCCAAUCCCUUCCCGCCUGAUCACUUCCCGUCAGCCCCUGUCCCCUUCGUCACACUCACCCCCUCCGCCCUACAUGUUGAAUGAACCUAUCAACCCCUCCCACAGUGCAUCCUGUACCGCUUGUCCCCCCAACCACCCACACAUGCAUGCCAUACACACAGGCUCUGACCGCCCCUGCCCCCCCCCAAUCCCCAAUGUUUCCCCCCUCUUUCCCACUUUCCCACUUUCCCACCUUGACGCACUGCGCCGCGGCGUCAUGCUUCAGGAUGAGCUGCUCCAGGAACAGGAAGGUGCGCUUGUGGUACACGUGCUGGCGCAGCUGCGUGCGUGGGCGCGUGUGUGGGGAAGGAGGAGGGGGGGAGGGAGGAGGGGGAGGGCGGGUGAGGUAAGGGAGGAGACGAGAGGGGGAGAGGGGUUGUGAGAGGGGGAGAGGGGGCAGGAGAGCGAGCACAAACCAUGGCAGGUUUCAACGUGCCACCCUUGCGUUGAUCAUCUCUAUUGAAGAAAAACGAUCCACCCCGCCCCUCCCCCACAACCACACACCACCACUCCCCUAGCCCACCCCACCCUACCCCACCCCCCGCUCUCCUUCUCGCUCCUUUGCAUUGGGUUCGGUUCGCUUGGGCUGGCACCUUCACCCCUCCCCCUCCCAAUCCUGUCCAAUACCUCCCCCACACACACCUGCACGCAGGCGAUCCAGGAGUUGGGGUUGGCGUUCUGUCGGUUGCAGUCGGGGCACAUGUUGUUCUCCACCACGUAGUCCACCACGAACGUCUGCUGCAGGAUGGCGCCGUUGAACACCUCCGCCUGUCGGUUGGUUAGGUGGGAUGGUGGUGGGUUGGGUGGUUAAGGUAGUGGGUGGUUGGUUGGUUGCGGUGGUUGCGGUGGUUGGAGGGGAGGGUGGUUGGGAGUUGAAGGGCUAGGAAGGUGCUGGCACGGGCGCUGCGCGGAACAGAACCCGGCAGCAGGUCAGAACGCGGGCCCUUCUAAGCCCGCCGUCUUAUCCCGCCCCUGCUUCCACCAUCGCCCCUCCACCAAACCCUCCUUACUCUCACCCCAACCCCUCUCGGUCGUUCAUGGGUGACUGCGCCUUCUCCCCCCCCUCCUAAUAUCCCCCGUCUGGUUCCUUCCCCCCUCCCUCCCCCUAUACCAAACACACACACGCUUUCCAAUCCCCUCCCUCCCCCUAAGACAAAACACACACGCCACGUGCCCCCUCACCUGGAUGGUCAGCUUAACCUUGAUGCGUUUGCUGUGCGGCUCAGUCCAGAUGAAGCCAGCGUCCACCAGCUUGACCUGCAGCGGCGAGAUUAGAUGAGAUAUUGACAAAGGCGAGAUGAGAUCAAGGACAUGGUGCAUUUAGUAUGAUGCUUUUGAAGAGAGACGUAAGUGACGGUGAAGUGCGAGGAGAAGUCAAGCGGGGCGAUACCAUGCGCCGAAGGAGUAGGGUGCGAAUGAGGGCGGGAUGCAGUGGGACCGCGGGGCCAUCAGGAGUUUGUUGUGUCCGCAUGCCCAUAGUGCCCAGGGUGCGGGCGAGCAGUUCGGAAAGACUAAUCGUGUAAGAAUCAUCUGGCCGCGGUGUGGGAUGUCGUGCCAUGCAUGUCGUGUGUCCGCCAAACCCUCCGGAUCCAUGCCCUCGUGCGCAGCUCUCGCGUUUGCUUCUCGGCCAUCAGAAGGCUCGUAGAUAAUUGCAUGUUUUUCCGCAUGCCCAGAAGGCGUUCGGAAAGACUAAUCGCUUAGGCAUCACCUGGCGCGAGCGAACAACCGGAGAGCGAGCAAGUAACUGGGUGUGGGCGCUGCUGGUUCGAGUACAUGCAUUGCCACGCGCUAUCCCAAUCCCAGCCGAUGCCCGCACCCACCCCCGUUCACAGCGUCUGACGUGGCCAGCCCGCCCUCCCCCCGCGCGCGCCUGGCCCGAUUGCAACCCGCGUGCGGCGUGGCGUGGCGCGUGUCAGUGCGUGAGCGUGCCGCUGCCCGCCCGUGCGUUUCCCUCCUCUCCCCUCCCCUCCAACCCGCCCGAACCCCAAAGCAGUCACGGCACCUGGUGCAUCCUUGCGCUUCACCACGGUGCCCACCGGCAAGCCCCUCCCCUCCCUCCCGCCGCUGGCAAAGCCUCCCCUCCCCUCCCGCCCCCCGCCGUCUGCCAUCCAGUCGAUGGCGGCAACCCCUCCCUGCCUCCCUGCCUCCCGCCCUGGCACCCUGGCGCCCUGGCACCGCAACGCCUCCCCGCCCCCGCCCCCCCUUUUCUAACUACUCAAUGCCCGGAACGCCUCCCUCCCUCCCGCCCUGGCACCGCGACGCCCCUCAUCACUCGCGCUCUUCGGCCAUCAGAAGGCUCGUAGAUAAUUGCAUGUUUAUCCGCAUGCCCAGAAGGGCGUUCGGAAAGACUAAUCGCUUAGGCAUCACCUGGCGCGAGCGAGCGAGCUAGCUAAGGCGAGCGAGGCGCCGUACAGCGUGUGCCCGGCGAGCGUGCAGCCGGCACGCGUCUACCCCAUCUCCUUCCACACCCCCACCCCACCCUCCAACUUGCUGUCUGCCUCUGUCGUUCCCUGCGCACUGCGGUACUGCCGCUACAGCCGCAGUGCUGCUGCUGCCAACUGGCAGCACCCCCCCCCCCAGCCACACACACACACACACACACACACACACACACACACACACACACACACACACACACACACACACACACACACACACACACACCGCUGCUUUCGGCGCAGCCCCCGCCCCUGUUAGGACUUCUUCAUUGGGCUUGGGCUCGGGCAUGUAAACCCCCUCCCCCGGCGCCCCCAACCCACCCGCGAACCCCCGAAUCCCGGCGUUCCAAUGUGAUUGCCCCCCCCCCCCACACCCACACCCACCCACCCACACACACACGGCUCCGGCCCCGCCUCUCUCACACACACACGCACACACAAACAUAUACACACGCGCACCUUGGACAGGCCUUUGAUCUUCUUGAUGCAGAAGGUGAGCAGCUCCUUGCUCUCCAGCUCGGCAGUGACCCAGUGCUUGGGCGGCUGCAGGUAGCGGCCGCACUCCUUGCACCACAGGAUGGUGCACUGGGAAGAUAGGGGACAGACAGGGGCAGAUGGGGGGGGGUGCAGAGAGGGGUUGGAGAGAAGAGGGUUGGAGAGGGGAGGGUUGGAGGGCGUUAUGUAACUCAUAAUUAGGUAGGGAAGUGGUGCUUGAGGAGUGGUAGAUGGUAGACAAUCAGGGGGGUGAGGCAAGGGGGGUUAGAGGUCUUGGGCAAGCGGGUUACUAGGUUGGGAGGAGCGUGAAGGGGCGCCGGUCGGAAGGGGCUCCUCCCCAUGGCUUCGCCCCACCCGCCGUCGCUAUGACUCUGAGCCCGCCCCCCACCCCCCGCCCCACACACCCGCACACGCAUACACCGGGUUCAGGUCCGGCCCCGCUCCCAAUUGAGCCAACCCUUACCCUGCCACACGGCUCUUCUUUUAUACCCCUGGCCCCUCGCGACGGGCCAACCAAUAGCCAGCUCCAUCCAUUUCUCUGCUGUCCUAGAGACGGCACGGCAGAGCGCCCAGAGGCGCCGAACCGGGGAAUGCGCCAUUCCCUCCUCCUCCUUGAAGGAAGGCAACCCCGACCCUGACUCGCCGAGCAGGAAACGCUCCCGACACAGCAGCCAACACACGCCGCCUCCCGCCAGCCCGCUGCAGCUACCACUGGCGCGCAGCACCCCCCCUUGCCAGCUGGAAGGCACCGCCCCCCCCUCCCUCGUAUUAAGUAUUGUGUAUUGAGGAAUGGCCCACCCCCAAUCCCCCGCCCCGACGCCGGAACAGCUGCCGAGCAGCCGGCACUGCAGCCGAGCAGCAACGUGGCGCACCUGCUUCUGUAUCCCCUCCGUAAUGUCGACUUGCGACCGGAUGCAGUUCACGCACAUGUUGGACGGGUUGGGCAAAAUGUUGGUGCCACAGAGACAGCAGAGCCUGCAAGGUCGGGAGCAGAGGUCACGCGUUUAUAGCGAAAAGAAGGCGAUGGGCAUCGGCGCGGGCCGACACCGGCAAAUGACGCCUUUGUCGCCAAUUUGCGCAUAUGCAUUGGUAAACAGCUAAAACAACUUAUCCCCGCCGCUGGCUGCCGCAGCCCGCAGGCACGUCGUGGCGGCUGGCAGGCCCUAGUUGUCACGCGACAGCUGCGCCCCCACACAAAUCACUUACACAUAGCCCUGCGUCUGCUGCGGCUGAAAAGUAGCCUGGCCGCCAUAUCCCAGCUCCAUUUUUGCUUGUUGCCGGUCCGGCCCCGCAGCUCCAGCCAACGGGUUGCCCUCGUGAGGCAGCAGCUAAAUUAUACUAAGAACCUUUUGCUCGCGUGGAACUUUAGGUCCCGAAGUUAGAAAGUCGAGCUGACUGGAAAUGCAGUUUGGCCGAACCAGAGCGAAGCAGCCCUAAUGUAACAGAUAUUUCUGAUCGAAACUAGAAUGGCUUGGCACACGCAUUACAUCAUCAUCACGCGAGCUGCACAACGCAACGUCAGGCGCAUCAUGAAACACAAUGCAGUUGCAGGCACGCACUGCGCAGUCGUGCCAACCCUCCGUGGACAUGUACGCCACGAGAGUCCCAAUCAGUCGAGUUGCUCAGGUAUAAUAGCAGCCCUUAACCCUAUGCAUCAGCAGACCAAGGACACCGUGACUGCUGCAGCACUUCCACUUGCACUCGGGAUCGUCCGCUGCUGCCGCAGCCUUGGCCGCAGCGUCGCAUCCGCGCACCCAUGCAGUUCGCCCUGCCUGGGUGUUCCCAAUGCCUCCUGCUGCCCCACGCAUACAGAACUCUUGCACCAUUAUGCACUCCCAAUGCCGUCGCGAACAACAGGAGUCAAAAGGGAGCGAGCACAACCCGUGGCACGCCUGGCCCGCGCCCUUUCGUCAUUGCACUGUUCGGCAGCAGCGCUCACUGCGUGGCCCGACCAAUGGGACCACCAUCCAAAACCAACUAAGCCAACCAACACCUUGCCCGACAUUCUUUUGCUUGCAGGCGCGGCUACCGUUGUGCGGCCGCUGUGUUCGAUAGAUCUGCAUACUCAUGCACUGACAUAAGCAACUGCUGUGCAACGAGCAUGCCCUUUUGGAACUAAGUUCCUCUCACUUGCUGGUAUCGAGAUGUGGAUUACAAGUGAAGGGACAGCCCGACAAGCGGGGGCACGCCGUACCCACGCCGCGAGGGGCCAUCUUCGACCCAGAGAAACAACACUCCCCUGGUUGGCUGCCGACCUUCAUAGUAUUACGCACAUGAGUCGAAGCCAAGCCAAAGCCCGCCAAAGCCCCACCGCCACGUAACACCCCUCAUCUCGUUUAGGUCUUUUGGCGGCAGCACCCACGCACAACAAGGCGCGACAGGCCAGAGGUCUGCCGACAUCCCCAACAAACGCAAGCACCACUCAUUUUCACUCGCCCGCAGACGAUGGCUGGCGUCAGAGACGCGCAAUGUCUUGGCCCGAAGGCCCACGUCUGGAAACGUCUGUGCCAAGGCACCACAAAGGGAAACCCAGCCGGAACUUGACCAGACCACCAGCACACCGUAACACCUCACCACGGGCACACCGCCCUCCACCCGCCCCACUAGCCAGUGAACUAGACCGACCCACCAAACAGGCCACACGCGCGCCCCGGAGGCGAACAGGCCCACCAGCCGCCCGGGCGCCCGGGCAACAGCCGGUAUCGAGGAAUGGUUCUGAUCGUUGGGCCUUUCAGCCUGGCCCCACCGCUGCCUAGCUGUAUCCCCGGCCGCACAAGACCCUGCACCCACUGCUGUCCUGGAAAGUGCAGGCCCAGAUAGGCACUUGCAGCCUGUGCAGCCCACCAUCCCCACCUACCCUCCUCGUUGUUCGCCUCGUAACAGCGGCAUGCAAGCGGGCAAACCCAGCCCAAUCUCUUUUCCAGCCUCUACCUACAGUCCUUUCCUGAACGACAGCGCUAGCUCACGCCGCAGACUAGGUACAUGCUGGAGUGAAGCACGGUACUUUGCUUCUUUUCUUCUUUGCAAAGGAAGUUCUCAAAGUAAAAGCGAGUGCGGCCGGUUGGGUAGAUACCGUACUGCCACGCUCAAUUGGUGAUUUUAUAAUUGGUGACAGUAAGAAAUCGCGUUGGAAUUAAACAGGCUGACACAGAGUUUGGUGAUGGGCUCUGGCAGCAGCCAGGCCGAAUUACACCCGUGUCACAGAAUUGGUGAUGGGACCCCCCGAAUCGUACCCAGCGUCUCCGGCCCCGGCAGCUGCAACACAAGCCCCGGCGCUCUCCAGCCAACGUCCCACAGUACUUCUGCUGCUCAGCUUCACAACCACGCACCCAGCAGCACCGUACCGUACGGUAUGCAACACAAGCCCCGCGCUUGCAGGCGCAGUCAGGCGCUAUCCAGCCAAUGUCCCACAGCUUAAGCUGCUUAGGGCCUUUGGGGGCUACACUGAGCAUUGUGCGUACACUAUUGCUUAGUAUAGGAAUAGCGUCACUAGCCAAAGCAGCCUCUUUGCGUGUUUUCGCCCGACUUGGAUUCAGAGUGCACAGGAAUUGGUGACGGGCUCUGGCAAAUCCUAGUCGACAUUGUUCCCUGCUACCAAAUUGGUGAUUUUCACCAAUUUGGUGUCACCAAUUGAGCGUGGCAGUACGGUAGUACCCACCGUAAUGCAGCAGGGCCCGAGCGAGGGCCCGCCGGGGCAGCGGCUUACGUCCAACCCCGCAACGCAAGUUCAGCCUAUUUACACAAUGCAAUCACACGUACGUGCGUGAACCCGCGUAUGUGGAUUGGCAUGCGGACCGACCUGCUGCUUGCAACGGCCUGCUUGCGCAUAGUAUGUAGCCGCAGGACAUGGAAGAGAUAGACAAGAAACGGAGCACCCGCCGUAUUUAUUCACAUGGCCUGCAUCCUGUCACCGCUGCAUGCAGUCGCCCAAGGGCCGCCGAAGCAAAGAGAGGGCCGCCCAAAGGCCGACCAAACAAAACCACCAGCCUCCUCCACGCUCCACAGGUGCCACAAUAAACUACAAUCAUGCCACAAUGGUAAUUAUGACUCUCUCUUCCAAAUACAAGUACUGAAUUUGCGUGUGUUGGUUGGUUCUCUCUCCCAAAAUACAAGUACUGGGUUUGCGCGUGUGUUCCAUUGGCAUCGUUUGUACCGGUCUCGAGGACAAGAAUGGUGGCUCUCCCUAUCAAGGGAGAAGUGGGCUGCGUCCACGCCCCGUUGGUGCAUGCCUGCGUUUCCCACAAGUCUCGAAAGUACCUCAUCUCCCGGGCAUAGCCCGGUCAAACCACCGCGACCACCUCCCGUUGCCUCCAGCACACGCACUACACUCACGCGAAGCCCCAAGGAGCCACCCAACCGACAUCACCACAACAUCCAUCUGCUAAGCACUGCCUCCCCUACAUAUGUACCCGCCCAUCCAUGGGUCAGGCCGCAACGGUACGGCCCACAUGCAUCAACCGCGAGUUACUCCCACGUUCGUUAACAGGGAUUGCCGCACUCCAUCCAAGCAAGCAGCUGCAUACCGGCAGAAACACGUACAUAUGACCCGGCCCGCCCAUUCGUGACGGGUUUAGGAACUCUCACUUCCGAUCCUGUAACCCAUCAUCAUCGCGUCCUGUCUGCCAAUCCACGUGCGUGCGCGCUGCAAGCCAACGCCUAGCGCGCUUCAGAAGGAGUGACAGGCGAUUGCAGCUAUGUGACGCCACCAAUCAAGUUUUCAGUGAAAUCUAAUAAAGGCGCCUUACUUGUUCUUGCGCAUGUGCGUACCCCGCCGCCACACGUUCUUAUCUCCCGGCAUGCAUCCUUGCGGGUCUGCGCUAAUUAGGCAGGCCCCAUCCACAGCCCGUGCAGAUUCAGACAAAGCGGCAGCAGCAGUCAGCGGCAGUUGGCGACAUGCAUGCAUCAAGUAUGUGCAGCGCCCGCUCUCCGCCACAUCGCUCCAACGCCCGCCCAGCGCACCAGCAGUACGAACCACGCACACAUAUAUACAUGUUCCAUGUAUGUAUGUAAGCGUGAUGAUGAGUAGCUUUGCGCGAUGCGUAGCUUAGCUUAGGCUCAUACGCAUGCCUUGGGUCUCGCCUUACUUGACACCACCGAUUAAAUCUCCUCAUUCGCUGGCCUCGCAGCAUUCGCCAGACAUGCCCAGACAUUCAUUCACAACGUGCGACAGCUAGCAACGACAGCCUUCGGUGGCGUGUCUGCGGUGGGCGUCAUGACAGACCAUAAUUUUUAAAGUGUUAGUGUAGGAAGUAAGCGCAAAUGCGAAUUCGUGCCACGCUCACGCCACGUCUGAAGCUUCCCGCCCGCAACUGCAACAGGCAGCAGGAAGGUCCGAUGGAGGUGCCCAAGCGCAUACACAAAAACGCGUCCGGUAUAGCAAGGCGAGAUGUGCCUGCUUUGCUCACAUGCGUUGUCCCACCAGCCAGCCCGCCAGCUAGCCAGCGCGCAAGCCAAACCUUCCCUGCCAGCUGUAUGUACCAGCAGUAGCAGCAGGCACCAGCUGGCUAAGCCGCCACACAAGCUUCCCGAAAGUACCCAGUUGCGUGGCAUAUGAGCACACGCACACGCACACGCGCACACGCGCACACACACGUAGUUCACCAAGCUACUUGGAAUAAUCCUCCGUUGUGAGGUAGGGUAUGCCGUCUAUUAUGUAGCGCACGUUGUGGGGGCAUGAGAAACAGCAUCAUCAGAGUGCGUCGCCACUUCUCGCCGGUGCGCCAGUCAAGCCAGUCAUCCACAAAGAUAGAUCGGCGGCCAAUUAACAGCAAUCCGGGCAUCCGUAGCACCAACAGCAGCAGAGUAUGUGGUGCCCACCCAUGCGUCAGUCAUUGAUAAUGUUUUGCCUGCCGAGCGACAUGCACUGCGGCGCAUUGCGACAUCAGCCUACCUCCAUCCAUACGCGUGCGUGCGUCGCUCUCCGUGCGUCCCGUGCAAACGCUAGCUUCACCCGGUGGUGUCAGGACGCCCCCGCCUACUUCACAAACUCGGCUUGACGCACAAUCUCGGUAGGUAGGGACAACGCACACAAGCAGGGUACGUCGGGCGCCGGUACGUAGGGCCGGUCAGGGUUGCCAUCGAUCAACGUCUGGCCCUAUGUAUGCCCACAGGUAAAGUAAGCAAGCCAACUAGGAAAACGGCGGGGCAGGCCGUGUGUGCACGUGCGUUUCUCCUUUAUAUGUACAUACGUCUGUGCAGCAGCAAAUCAAGCCACCCAAGCAGCACUGUGCAUCUCUCGCAAUAGUCCUGUUGAGCAUCCACAUACACCGCUAUUGCUUGCCAUUUACUACGAUCGAUUGAUUGGUUUAGGGCAUACAAACGCAUGCAUGCCUCCGUCCCCUGCAAGCAAAAUCCCAAUUUAACAUCAGCAUGGGUGGGCUGUGGCACGCCUACGGGCGACAUUACCAAGAUGACCCUCCAUCCAUGACCGUCCACACCCUGUAUGUACGAGCCCCCCGCAAGCCCCGAGCGCCAAUCAACAAGCACGCUAGGUGAAGCCGCCGUCCGGUCGUCUACAGACAGGGUAGCAGGCACUCUUGAAACCCCCACCCCUCCCACCCCCGCAGCAUCAAUUCAGCCAACCCCAAGUGUGCAUCCCCAUUCACAACUAACCCCGCAUGCACACAAGACCCGCUGAUGCAGCUCCCUCUCUCACCCAACUCGCCCAAUCGAACAGGCGGUCGUUAAAAACAAAGUGCGCUGUGCUUUGAUUGCUCGCGCGCCAUCGGCAAGGCACAAACAUCAGAAAUGCAAGGCAUGCUGAAUGGAUUGUGAGCAUCAUCGUAUUGAUUGGAGCAUGAGAACACACACACAAAGCACAUUAUUACCCUACUACUUCUUUCAAUCAACUUCAUGCGGGUAGGGAUAGGCACGGAAGGCUCGCCAGAGCGAGCGCUCAACAAUAACCUUGAGAGAAACAAUGACAGACACACUCUCAACCCUCCAUCCCACAGCGGCUGUAUGCGUGCAUGCAAGCCAGCGCCCAACGGCCGUGUGUGUGUGCGUGUACACAUACACACGCACACUACUUGUGCCGUGGACGGCCGUGCUUCUGAUGACCUGAUAUGAUCACAGCAGCAUCGCCCGCGCACAAGCACACGCACCGGCCGCGUCCGGUGUAAUCCCCACCUGCUGACCACCUGGGAUGCAUGCAUGCUCGCUCAUCAUCAUUAGCAGCAGGUAGGAAAUGAAACGUACAUGUGAACAUGGACAUGCCCGCAUGCUGCCUAGCAGGCAUCCACGCAGCGCAGGUCCGUAGGCGCAUGCAUGGCGCAACAUCAGCCACGCAGAAGACAUAGCAUCUGUCGUAUGCCCGUGCGCGCACCAUCCACUUCAUCGAACCAGCCGUUCAUCAUCUCCACACAACGUACGUACGUCAAGAAAGGUGCGGUGUCUAUCUGGCUAGCGUAUAGCUGACACGCAUCCCGCCGCCAGCUCCCAUUCAUGAUCCCAAGAACAAAACCCACAUGCACGCACGAUGCUCCUGCCUGGCAACCCCGACUCAUCAUGGUCGUACGUACCAUACGUGCUUGCGUGCGUGCUCGUCGCAUAUCAUCAACAAAUCUAUUGUUCCAAGCAGUUCUUCGCACAUCGGCUUUCGUCCGCCGCCGCCACCACCGCUUAUUACUUCACGGUGUUUUCCACAUAUCAAGCCGCACACCAGCAGCCGCCUUGCAACAUACAGUUUGCUGCGUGCAUGGUAAGGGCUUGCAUGGCAUUGUAAUGUAGCCGCUCACACGCGACAUACACAGCCACCUGCCCAGCCGGCUCACAUUAGUAAUAAGACUCCACCGACCCACCGCCGUGACAUCCCAACUAACCGCCGCGACCGCUCGCUGAAAAUGGAGCUAGCAGCAAGUAAGCCAACAGCAAUCACUUCAAGACUGCCGCCGCCUGCACGCACUAGCUAGCCAGCCAGCGAGCACGCAAGCAACUUCCCACGCACACAAGCAACUACCCCCAUUACUCUAAUUACUCAAGACCAUAGCCACCUCCAUAGUACGACUGCUGCUGCCCGCCGCCGCCACCGCCGCCGCCGCCACCUCGAGCAGAAGCGUCAGGCGGCGCAAGCAUGUAGGUCCCUGCCGCGCCGCCUGCGCCGCCGCCAACGCCGCUCAUGCCAACGCCAACGCCAGCAGCAGAUGCAGGCGAGUCGUAGAUGUCCACGCCAGCGGCGUGCCCGCCGCCCGCAAGGAGGGCUUGAGCGGCCUCCAGCGCAGAUGCCCCAGCCGCCGCCGCUGACGGCCCGGCGGCGCCGCCGCCGCCGCCACGGUUUCCGCCAGCACCGCCGCCAGCACCGCCGCCAGCGACGUGAAAGAGGCGGCCGCCGGCGCCGCCAGCCGCCAUGAGGGACGACGCUGACGCGGCUCCCUGGUCCGAUGCGUAGAGGAAAUGAUCGGCGGCGGCUGUGGAGGUGGCCGUGGCGCCUAAUCCGCCGCCGCCGCCGCCGCCCAUGCCCAUGCCUCCGCCGCCGAUGCCGAUGCCGCCGGUGGCAUAGUACUGGAUCUGCGGCGGCUGUGGGUGCUGCCCCAGCUGGUGCUGAUUGGAUCCGCUGGACAGCUGGAUGACACCUGUAAUAUUACGUGACAUGCGUGGCGCAAGAGAUAAAUAGUGUUAUUAGAGCGGCGCGAAGCCGCGAGUAGUAGUGCAUAGGUGGGCUGCAGUUGUCAGAUAUAUAUAGACGCGGGCAGCAUAUCCCAGAAGGUACAUAUACCCACGUAAGCGAUUAUUUCCGGCAACGCCCGUGUUGCGUACAGCAGCAGCGGCUGCUGAAUUCCACGCACUGCGCGCGGAUAGCGAGCACAGCAGCUGCGUGCGCAGCAAGCACAAGCGCGCGCUCUUGCAGCAGCCGGCCUAGCCAAACGCAAGCAAGGACUAAGCGCACUGAAUGCCACACGUGUUGCGGUGUUGAAGUUGAUGCGACGGACAACUGUGUAGCUAGGAGACAAGUGAGCUUUACGUAAGCGCUUACGUAAAGCUCACUUGCGUCGGUCGUCGAUUAUCAUAAAAUACGUGGGCAACGCAACACGCAGUUUUACUGAUCACGUAUAGUCGCCUAGCUGGCACGCAAGGCUAAGGCUUUCAUAUGGGACGUGGCUGUGAAUAAAGUAAAAAUGAAGCCACGACUAGAUCGUGCGACUAGAUAGGUGCAUAUUAAAGCAUGUUAGUUCAAGAGCAUGCUUGCAGCUUAUUAUACAGCACAGACAAAUGAUGACGCAAUGCAUCGAGCUUCAUGUUAUGCGCUAUCCUUCCCACGCACGCACCUGUCCCUCCUGCUGGCCUGCCGCCGUUGCCUCCUGCUGGCCCGAGACCAGCCGCUGUCAGGUUGGCGUAUUCCAUCGGGCUGAAGAAAACAGGCCCCGAGUAGCCAGGCGCCGAGAUAACGUUGUACACUGCGGCACAAAUGGAAGACCGGCAGGCAUAAGCUUGUCCGCGGUGUAAUAAAUAGCGUGCAGGCCAGUCAUGCGUGCCAGUAAUGUGCGAACAGCAAAUUGAUUGGAUGGUACGUUUAUUAUCGUCUGCUGGAUGGCUCGUAGAGAGCGGGUACGGUCAGGGACUAUGCGCGCACAGUGAGUACGGUAUCGUUUCAUUGCCAGGCGCGAAGAGUAGUAGAAAUAGAAUGGAUACACCCUGCCGUCGGCAAGUGGUGUUAUUACUAAGGGAGUUGGGGGAGAUGAGGAGACGGGUCAGGCCCGCCGCCUCCUGCACGCCCCUACUACCGAGCAUGGGCGGUAGGCGGGCGGGCGGGACAAGCCCGCACUCCGCCAGCCAGGCAGGAUAUAAAGUCAAGACAAAUAGCAGUCAGAUCACGCGACAGAGUCAUUAAAGCGGCUCUGCAGGAGCACGCCGCUACAAAAGACGUAGCAGGUACGGCCAAGGCCUAGCGCGCGUAUACGAAUACACGGUAAAUGGUAUGUACAGCAGCUUAAACUUUGCUGCGCGAAUGCAGAAUGCGGUAAUUAGGAUAUAUUCAGAGCGUGUGGGAACCAGGCGAGACACAUAUACGGUAUGCACUAGCACAGCAGCGAUCGAGAAGUGUGCAGCACACCUCUGGCGCGAAUCCAUUCGCUACGCACGGCUACAUAAACCUGAACUACUGAUAAUUUUAUGCUGCUGUAAAUAUCAUUUGGAUGGGUGCGUGCUUGGCACGAACCACGCGCUUGGCAGGCUUGGGUUGACGCAAGUCUCAAUGGGAUGUGUAACUAGCCAGCAGCAGGAUUCGAGUACGCGUACGUGCGUGUGCAUGAGUGUGGGGGGCGGGCGGGACGACGUAGCAGCAUUAAUGGAUGGACCCGCCGCAAGUAAGAUGCAUGCAUGGUUUAUGCCUUUCACCACGAGCAGUUUGUCCGCGUAAUUACGCUGCGCUAAUUUCACAACGGCAUAUCAUAAACAAUCAUGCAAGGACCCAGAUAACUAGCUAUGAAAAUAUUCGGUCUAUCACAGCUGUAUCACCAACAGCUGGCCCCAUCCACCAUGUACGCAAGCGCUGUUCGAUUGAGCUAGCUGCGGCGCAUGCUCUAUGCGUGCGUUGCGUUGAUCAUGAUGAGUGACUCGCACUUAGACAGCAAAUAUGCAGAAAAUAGGUGAUUCAUCCGCCAGGCAACUACCGAGAUAGACACGUGCAUGCAAUCCGUGAUGCAAUCAAUCUACGCUCGGUCGCGGCAGCAAAUACAGCAAACGUGGCCAGCAGCGGCGCAGGCCGCUAUGCAAGCGACGGACUCGUGUUAGUUGUUGGGCAUUUGUGCAUCUCGACAUAUUUACACUUUUAUUUAGUAUGUUUAGUACGGUAGUCAUUCAAUGACUUGCCACAUCGUGCACGUGCGCAGCAAUUGCGAUCGAGCCGCUAUCUGCCCUGGGCUCCCACACAUGUAUUUGUUAUAUGUAUGGUACUGUCCCCAACCGCCCAAUCAACCCUGAUCCUAUCCAACGAACCGUUACUAACGUCGCCAUCCCCACAUGUAUGUGUUUGCGUGCGCCUUCAGCUGGCAGAAAAAGAAUGGAAAUAGAGACACCCUACCUGCCAUGGCCAACCACGUGAUUUAAAUUACGGGAGUUCGAGUUCUACUACUUGCAUGCCGCCCUCCCCCCCUUUUCCACCAUCGUCAUUUCAUAGGUGAAUGGCUAUAGCCCCAUAGCAAGCCGCCUAGCUAGCCCCCUCCGUAUCACUGCCAUACCCCCGGCCCAUCCAGCCCUCCACCCACCUGGCCCCGGCAGCGGCGUCGUGGACAUCUGCAUUGGCUGCAGUGGCUGCAUCGGCUGUGCGUGUGGGCAGAGGAAUAACAGCGGCCACGAUGCACAUGGGAGACAUGUGUAUCAGGUAUUGACGAUGCGCUAAGAAACUAAAUGCAAACGGCGGAGACGGAUAUCCAAGCUUGCUUGCAGGCAAUCAGCAGAUAGCUAGCCGCGGGGAGGCAAACGCACAACGCACAACGCACAACGCGCACGCGCACGCGCACACACACACACACACACACACACACACACACACACACACACACACACACAUACACAGAAAAACACACACACACACACACACAUUUGCAUUUGCCGUCAUGCAUGCGCCCAUGCCGUCCCCCGCCUGUUUACUUGCUCGUGGUCGCCCACCCUCCGUCUCUUUCCUAAAUCGCGCAACCCCUAGUAUAGUUAAUUGGGCUGGGACUGGGCUGCGUGUUUGCUCUUGCUAGUCGCGCGCCGCCGCGCUAACAUGUUCCUUCGCUCUUGUUCGUGACACUCCCCUGCUGCCGCCCUGUGCUCUGUUGUUUUCUUAUUCGCUCGUAGGUGAGAAUUUCAUCGAGGAUUGGGCGGGAGCUUGGACUUAGCGGCCAGGAGUAGCGACGCGGAGCUGGGAAUUGUAGGAGUGCCUGGGCCUCACGGUACCGUGAGCACAUGCAUGGGUUUGCACCCUUGAGAGCGUGUGGACACUAAUCCCCCCUCGAGGUUAGAGUAGCGGGGGUUGCGCGAUUUCCGGUUGGUAAGACCGGCGGCUCAACGCAGCAGGUAUGCGAGGUAACUUCAGGUAACAUCCGUAAACCGUCGCUUUGCUGCAUCGCAUACACUGUCUUUGCGCAACGUUUUCCUUGUGCUCUUUAACACAAGUGCGCGAGCCGGUUCAUGUCCCGCGGGCGUGCCGGGGCCUCUAGGGCUCGUGUUUUAGCGACUUGAUUUGUGAGUGUAUGGACAAUUUCUGGUGGUGAAAUUGCCCUAUGCUCACAAAUCUGUCGAAGGGUAAUUUUCGGCGUCCUACUCAGUGCUGUGCUGCGUGCCGUCGCGUCUGGACGAUGCUACCGAAAAUUGCUAUCUUGUCGGAGUUUUGGGCACUAGGCCUGGAGCCCGUUCCGCGGGGUCGGGGACCGGGCUGGGGGCCUUGUGGCGCCUCGGGCGCGCCGUGUUCCUCCUGCUUGUCGCGUUCCUCUGAUUUGCGCCAUAACCUGUACUGACUUUGGGCCCGCCCUCCCCGUGCCGCUGCCCCGCGGCAUCGACGUCCCCAUAAGCUGUACGUGUACUUGGACCUGGUGCUACAUGGCCGCAUGAGGGGAGUACCUAGCGUGUGCCGCCUCCGUCACACCAUGGAGUGGGGAGCGGGGGUUUUUCCCCCGCCAGCCCAUGGUGCUGACACCCCAUUUGCAUUUGCCGUCAUGCAUGCGCCCAUGCCGUCCCCCGCCUGUUUACUUGCUCGUGGUCGCCCACCCUCCGUCUCUUUCCUAAAUCGCGCAACCCCUAGUAUAGUUAAUUGGGCUGGGACUGGGCUGCGUGUUUGCUCUUGCUAGUCGCGCGCCGCCGCGCUAACAUGUUCCUUCGCUCUUGUUCGUGACACUCCCCUGCUGCCGCCCUGUGCUCUGUUGUUUUCUUAUUCGCUCGUAGGUGAGAAUUUCAUCGAGGAUUGGGCGGGAGCUUGGACUUAGCGGCCAGGAGUAGCGACGCGGAGCUGGGAAUUGUAGGAGUGCCUGGGCCUCACGGUACCGUGAGCACAUGCAUGGGUUUGCACCCUUGAGAGCGUGUGGACACUAAUCCCCCCUCGAGGUUAGAGUAGCGGGGGUUGCGCGAUUUCCGGUUGGUAAGACCGGCGGCUCACCGCAGCAGGUAUGCGAGGUAACUUCAGGUAACAUCCGUAAACCGUCGCUUUGCUGCAUCGCAUACACUGUCUUUGCGCAACGUUUUCCUUGUGCUCUUUAACACACACACACACACACACACACACACACACACACACACACACACACACACACAUUCUCCACGUACGCGCAAUCAGCAUACUCUCCGCAUGUGGUGCGGUGUAAUUUGUAACCCCAGCCCAACCUGCGGCAUGCACUACCGUGACUAAAUGCCAUCCACGCAGGCACUCACCACCAUAAAUUGCGGCGGCCCAGCUGCGCUCAGGAGCUGUGGGUAGCCGCCCCCUGCUGCCUGCUGCUGACCCAUCCCGCCGCCGCCAGCCGCCAGCAUCCCGCCGCCGCCGGCAACGACGCCCGCCGCCGCCGCGGCGACGGGCGUGGUGCUUAUGAGACCCAUGGCUGCGGCGGCAGCGGGUGGCGGACCCACCACCUGAGCCGAAGCGAUGUCUCCGGUUCCGCCGUACAGCUGCACGCAUGCAUGCGAGCAUAUCACACACACACAUCAAGGUCGUACUAGUGGGUACCGUAAGCAGUACCGUACGUAGCACCGUAAGCAAAGUCAGGUAUGGACGAAUGCGACGUGGAUUGCGGUAUUAGUAAGACGUAGUAAGGGACGGACAGGGACAGCCGGGCGGCUGUGUCGUCAUUGGACGUGCACGUGUAUGAACUGUUGAUCAGCACGUUGUGAUUGUGGGGAUGGGGAUGUGUGAUCGAUUGCUUGUCUAAUCAUGGCAUGGAUGCAUUUCAUUCUUUCGGCAUGUACUGCCUGCCCGCUCAAAGUUAGCACGCAAGAGCUGGAAGGGACAAGUGGAGCAGGUAGACGACCUUGGCGGGAGUGGGGAUCACAUGUAUGACGGCCCAAGCCCAACAGCAGACAACGAAUGCAUCCCAACGGUUUCCGAAUCCAGCUGUCUACACUAUCUACACGCGCAUUUCGCAUGCACGCCUUCAAUCCCGCCCUGGACCUGCCCUUCCCCCCGAUGCGCGCCGCACGGCUGUGGAGUAAAAUCAAGCAUUCGCGCCGCUGUCUGCAGAGCGCUUCUGUCCGUGUGCGUGGGCCAGCACGUCAUUUGGUUCUACAUUAGUCAGAGCCCCGCAUGCAAACCGACGCACCCCAUCUAAUAACGUGCAAAGCGUUUUAGUCCUAGAAGAGAGAGGCUAGACCAUGCGUUCUUGCAGCACGUGCUGCAUCAUACAUGCACGUGCGUGCGCCCACGCGCGCUCCCACGCCCGCCCCACGAGUUUGCUUACGCACCUGUGAAGGGGGCACCAGUCCAUAACCUGCACAGCGCCACGGCACAAAACAACAGAGCGACAGAGCUAUUAAAAUGAAUUGGCACGUUUCCACAGGGAAGAAACGCGCCGGGCGUGUUAGGAGGGACCAAGUCAGGCUCGCUCGCCUUUCCCACCUGGCGCGUAGACAGGCUUGUUGGACAGCGGCUGUGGCCCGCGGUUGCUGUGCCCCGUCGCCUGCCGCAGCAGGGCAAAGCCUUUGAAGGUUCCACGCACGAUGUCAUGGACCUGCAAGGAGGUUGCGACCAGCUAAACCGAGAAUGCGAGCGGUGGAUGGCUGGAAAACGCGUUCGGACUGCUGCACCGUGACAUGCACACCUUAGGCUUCCCGAACGUUAUGCUGAGCCUUACCAUUGAUAACGCCAUGUUAAGGCUGUGGGGAUUGCCGCUGAUAGCGAUUUUUGUGGGGUCGCUUGUCUGCAGCACGAACAGCAAGCUCAUCACUGGUAACUCAAACUUUUGGCUUGAUAAAUCGCACCGCAAUUAGCGCAAGGCGAACGCAGGAGAAGGGACGAGCGAGUGCCAUCUCCGUCGCCAGCUGCGAGCCCACCUGGUCAAUCUGGAUCAAUGCACCGGUGAACGUCUGUAGAGCCUUGAUUGUGUCGCCAUCCCUUCCUGCGGUGCCAAAGCCGAGGGUCGAUGUCUGCCUCGCCUGGCCUUUGAGCAACUGCAGACGACCAACGCACCAAUAACGCGCCCAACCAUCGACUUGGGGCAUGUCAGCAUCGCUGUCUGGCGCCGCCCGCUCGCGGGCGCCCCGCCCUGCUGCUGCUGCAUCUCGUUGCCCCGCUCUCUGCCGCCCCGCGCUCUCGGCCCUGGCCGCUGGCUCCAGCUCAACGUAACGAUUGAAUUGCAAAGUGAUGGUACUGGUUAACUAGAGAUGACACAACGCGGGUCUUGCGUAAAUUGCUGCAAGUUGAACUCAGCAGUCUCAGUGAAAAUAGAGGUUUACAUGAAAGUGGAAUGCGUAGGGAGAUUUCAUUGUCUCCCUCUGUGUUCUCGUUAUUUCAAACACCCAUAAAGGAGCCAAUACACGAGCUGCCAGUUUGCGUACGAGAUCCCGCGAGCAAGGAUCUAACCGGCUCGCCACAUACUGCGCAAGUGGUACAAGCACAUGAAGCAGGCACAUGUAGAAAAACAGAGCAAACGAAACUCAUCUGCCUUGUUACGGGUCGUAUCCAGUACUGCGGUACAUUGCGAGUUCAGGUGUCUGGAGCAGCCGCGUUUCCGGCUACUGUCUCGAAAAUGCAGAAGCAUUCUCACUUCUGUAUUUGCGUAUACCGUUUCGCCCGUGAGCGACUAAACCCAACCGCCCCGCCCUUAACGUGCUUUGCGUUUUGCUUGCGCCAUUGCACGCAGUUUAUCUCCUCGUCCUAUCUGUCAUGUGCAGGCGCAGUGCAAUGUACCCGAGCGAGGGCUUGGUGGUGUGGAUGGGCCUGGGCGAAAGGGAUGGGUGAAUGAGUGAAUGCGCUCGACAUCAUGACACGACGCAGCAGCCUAACGUGUGGAUGGGAUACCACCACGUUCAGGUGUGCGAUGGACACAUACAGGCACAUAGAGGCUCGAGGUUUGUGUACGCAUGCGAUAUUGCAUAUGAUUAUUACAAGGAGGGGCAGUCCGACCAACGAAGGUGCACCACAGCCACGCCAUGCUAUGUAUGAGGGGCCAUGUCCGGCCCACAGAGUAUUGCAGCAGCAGCAGCAGCAGCAGCAGCAGCAGCAGCAGCAGCAGCAGCAGCAGCAGCAGCAGCAGCAGCAGCAGCAGCAGCAGCAGCAGCAGCAGCAGCAGCAGCAGCAGCAGCAGCAGCAGCAGCAGCAGCAGCAGCAGCAGCAGCAGCAGCAGCAGCAGCAGCAGCAGCAGCAGCAGCAGCAGCAGCAGCAGCAGCAGCAGCAGCAGCAGCAGCAGCAGCAGCAGCAGCAGCAGCAGGGAGAUAGGGCAGAGGCGCCAAGAGAGGAGCGUGGAUGGCAGGUGGCGGCGGUGGCGAGCGGUUCGGAGUGUGUGCUGGCUCGAGUAGCUCUAGUGCAUGCAUGUCUCUCCCGCGCGCCGUACUCAUCGCCUGCUGCUGCUGUCAUAUAUAUCGGCCUGCUGUGCCAUACACACAUGACUCGAUCGGCAGCUUGCUGCAAGCAAGCAAGCAAGCAAUGCUAGCUAGCCGUAGGUGUGGCAAGAUAGCCGUACGUGCACACGCACGCCCGUGAGCACACGCACACGCUUGUGCUAGCUCACUGGCCUCGGCUUACAACUUCAUGUUCGCUUGUGCGUGUUGCGUUUUUCAAGCACGUCAAUAACGCACGCGCACGCGCACACUGUGCGCGCGCAUGGGCGGGCGCGAAUAACCCAUCCUGUUUCCCUUUUAGCACACCGUCGUACCCUCGCAUGCAUCAGGCCCGCCCAUACAUCCUCCCUCCUGUGCUGCCUCCUAGCUCCGACAACCUCUUCUGGCAUUGUGCGCAUUUCGUUUCCUUGAAGCAUUGUCGAUAACACAUACACCGUCGCACACAUGUCGCAGCACCCAGGGGAUGCGUCUUCAAACUAGGGGCAAGGAGGACAGGCAGGGGGCCAAACCAGGGCUUGCGUCUUCCACUCGGAGGAAACCGAGGCGUCCGAAACUGGGGCUUUGCGUCCGAACCUGGUCCGAAGCUGGUCCGAAAAGUUCGGACCGGGAGGCUCGGAUGGUAGGGGCAGUCUGGGCGUGGCCAGCGGCGUGAACGAAUGAAGGGCCCUAACCAUAUGUUCUCGCCCACGGCAUCCAGAAGCCAAAAGUGCCUAGUGUUUAGCGUUGGGGGGAGGGGGGGGGGCUACGCACCCUCAAACCCCCCGGGAAGGGGUAGUUGGCGAGAUUCAGGGACCGUAUGUAUGCAGCCCCACGCGAGAAAUGCACCCCCGGAAAUGUCCAAUCUUUCUCGCCCGAGGGCCGCGCCUGUGCCUUGAGGAUGCGAGCCCUGGGCCGAAUGAGCCCAAUCAUCAAGUGCGAGAUGUACGUAUGGCGCCAUGUAUGGAUGGAAAAGCCUGAAAGUCCUUCACGCUGAGGGGCUGUGUUUGGGCCUGCUGCUUUCCCUCGGCUCCCCAACCCAAUGAAGAUGACUAUUUUCUGCUGAUGUGGCGGGCGUGCUGCCCUCGAAGGUCUAGAGCAAGGCGUCCGCACCGAUCACAUGGCAGGUAGGGAGUUGAACACGAGGUGGGCUUGCGAUUGGUCGAGGGGAUUACCAUUCAUAGAAUCCCGUGUGUGACUGAUGAUGAAGUCUCAGAGCAGGACCGCCGAUGGCAUGGCGUGAUAGCGCUCGCCAAGGGGAGUCAAUUGACACCACGUUGGUAACAACUGGGGGGAUCUUAACCCCCAAGCAACAAGUUUUGUUGUUGUGUGUGCUGUGUGUGUGUGUGGGGGGGGGGGCGGUCGUGGUCGUCCCCUCACGGGGGGCCCUGGGGGAUUUCAGGGCAUGGUGUCUGGCGCUUUGUUUCCCCCUCCCCUGGUGAGAAGACACGCUCUGCAUCCCACUCAUCCGAUCGGAUACCCGCCCUGGCUAUCAAAGGACUGCAGGCGACAAUACCGACGCAAAACGCCCCGCUCAGAGUCCAGCCAUGGCCACGUGCUGCGGCCCCAAAGCAAGGCCUGUGUGGGAGGAAGGCCUGGCGGCGCGUCAGUCCCAUACACUUGAUGACAAGCCGGGGCUUCCCUGAGUGUAUGGAACUUGUCAUCAAGUCCUUUUACGGCGUUUCCUGCUACAGCCAGAGCAGACAGGGCAGCAAGGCAUACACCACAUCCCAUAUCGGCGGCGCCAGCCCGGCAGGCGGCUGGACGAGCCACAGAGCAGCAUGCUCAAAACACGCAUCAACAGACCUCCCAUGGUCACAACCAUGUUCUCCCGCAAGGCCCGUGCCACAACGCGAUCCCAGAAUGAAGCGGUCAAAGUAAGGUAACGCGCAACUGCUGUCACUGCUUGUGCUCACGCUUUCUGUUUUGCUGUGCUAGCCUACAGGCCUCUCCAACGGUGUGCUCGCUGGCUUUCUCGAUGUCGCAUUGUUAAGCAUCGUCGAUAAGCGGUGCCGCCGUGCCGGCGCCCCCGUCGUUCAUGCUCAUACCAUCCACACGCACGACAUGGAGGCAACACAACCCCGUUAUGAAUUUACAACGGCCACAGGCGGCGGGCCAGGCAGCUAAAGCCCGACUCGCCUUCGGUAGCGUAACCCAGCACCACACACAUACUGCAAGUGCUUAGCCUGCAGCGCAGACAGCUGGGAAAGUUGGAGGGCCAGCUGCAUAUGCAUAUGCAGCCCUGUCUUCACGUUACCGGCACGCUCCGUGAACAACAGCGGCGGCUCCCCUCCUGCACCCAGCCCAGGUCCCGUUGGGUAUGCGAGUUGGCACAGAUUGUUAAACGAACAGGCUGUUAGCUUUCGUUGGCGGCAACUCAGCCAGUGAAGCAGGUCGCGGUUGAGUGCUAUAUACUCGCGGCGGGGCCCAUGUAGCCCAGCCAUGCAACCCGCCAUGACUAAUAAGCGCACUGCGGCACCCCUCGGCACACAUACACGGCGCAUUGCCCCGAGGCUUCAAGGAGGUUGCGACACACCACGACGCUUGCAGCCCCUCAAGCUGGCAAGCACCUCUCUCCGCGUCUCCGCGUCUCCCUGCAAGCAAACCCACCAACAGCCCGGCUGCAAAACAGAAGGCAACCCAGCAGGCCCUACCGUUCCAACCCCUAUUAAACCGAUCGGUAUGGGCGCGGUAACCGGGCGGUCACCCUGAUAAACCGAUGGUCAGCGUCGGUCAGCAUCGGUUACGAUUGGUAGGGGUUGGCCGCACGGUAAAACAUUGGUUAACGCUGGUAAAAUGGUCACUUCCCGGUAACCCAUUGGUAUUUGGCUCCUACCCAGCCCUUGUCCAGGCCCUUGUCCAGGCUCUGCCCAGGCUCGCUCAGCCCCCACCCAGAUGCCGCCCAGGCCCGCCCAGCUGCCGCCCAGGGCCGCCCAGCUGCCGCCCAGGGCCGCCCAGCUGCCGCCCAGGCCCGCCCAGCUGCCACCCAGGCCCACCCAGCCUGGCCAGGGCCUGCCCCCAGCGUAGAUGCGUGCAGCUCUGGCCGCGGCCGUGCCUUUGGCCAUGGCUGGGGGUGUUAGGCUAGCAGACCACGUUGGGAACAUAGGGGCGAGAAGUCUGGGGCGAGGCCUGUGGGAUCCUUGGGGCGGCCUCGCACCUGCCACGCCCCUGAACCCCCCAGUAACCCUCCCCCGAGCUGAGACCGCCGCGCUUCCUGAGCUGUAAACUUACUUUAGUAAUGUAGUUGCAUGUAGUGUAUGCUUCCUGAGCAUAGGAAUGCAGCUGAGCAGCUGGCUGUGUCGACCGAGGCAGCAAUGAACCCCCCCGGUCACUGCUGUCACUGGCGCAUGGCUUUAGCGGUUGAUAUCAAUAGUCUGUUAUGCACUCAGAGUACUUGUCGCAGAAGUUCGGGCUUUUCGGGUGUCUUAGGGAAAGUGGUCGCGCGUCCCCCGGCCGGGGGACGCCAACCCAUGUUCGUCAACUCGUCGAGUUGUGUGUUUGAACUUGGCCACAAAGUGCAUAUUGACUAAUGCCUAUAUAAAUCAAUCAACCCCAACACCCAAAGCCGUCCAGGAGUGCAGAGUACUUUACAUCACCGGGUUGAGGCCGUUGUCUCCAUCUUACAUCCUUCCUAGUACACUAAGUUAGAAGCUGAUAUCUUUCCCAGUACAAAACACAACGUUGCCCGGGGCCCUGGCUUGGUGGUGC